rfam:Ricinus communis cultivar Hale ctg_1100012362808, whole genome shotgun sequence.
AAACCGUGGUGUGGGCAACAUCUGAGGAGGUCCUUGUACCUCUCCCACGCAUCAUACAUGCUCUCAUCAUCAAACUAUACAAAAGAAGAAAUAUUAUUACGCAUCU